rnacentral:sRNA from 1 species
GACCUAACCCUUUAGCUUCGGCUAGAGAUAUGGUCAAAAAUCGCUGGACACAAGAAACCCCGUCAUUAGGGCGUGUCCAGCGUUGCCAGGAGAAAUCCUGGUAGAGGUUACCGUAAGGUACC